rnacentral:rRNA from 1 species
GAUGAACGCUGGCGGCGUGCCUAAUACAUGCAAGUCGAGCGAACAGAUAAGGAGCUUGCUCCUUUGACGUUAGCGGCGGACGGGUGAGUAACACGUGGGUAACCUACCUAUAAGACUGGGAUAACUUCGGGAAACCGGAGCUAAUACCGGAUAAUAUUUCGAACCGCAUGGUUCGAUAGUGAAAGAUGGUUUUGCUAUCACUUAUAGAUGGACCCGCGCCGUAUUAGCUAGUUGGUAAGGUAACGGCUUACCAAGGCGACGAUACGUAGCCGACCUGAGAGGGUGAUCGGCCACACUGGAACUGAGACACGGUCCAGACUCCUACGGGAGGCAGCAGUAGGGAAUCUUCCGCAAUGGGCGAAAGCCUGACGGAGCAACGCCGCGUGAGUGAUGAAGGUCUUCGGAUCGUAAAACUCUGUUAUUAGGGAAGAACAUACGUGUAGGUAACUGUGCACGUCUUGACGGUACCUAAUCAGAAAGCCACGGCUAACUACGU